rnacentral:rRNA from 1 species
UACAGAGGGUGCGAGCGUUGUCCGGAAUCACUGGGCGUAAAGGGCGCGUAGGUGGCCCGACAAGUCAAUGGUGAAAGCUCGACGCUCAACGUCGAGUCGGCCACUGAUACUGUUGGGCUGGAGCACUGUAGAGGCUCAUGGAAUUCCGGGUGUAGCGGUGGAAUGCGUAGAGAUCCGGAAGAACACCGGUGGCGAAGGCGGUGAGCUGGGCAGUAGCUGACACUGAGGCGCGACAGCGUUGGGAGCAAACAGG